GACGUAGGAUGCAAGCGUUGUCCGGAUUUAUUGGGCGUAAAGAGUUCGUAGGCGGUUAGUUAAGUCUGGUGUUAAAUACCGUGGCCCAACCACGGAGGUGCAUCGGAUACUGGCUAACUUGAGUGCGGUAGAGGCGAGUGGAAUUCCCAGUGUAGCGGUGAAAUGCGUAGAUAUUGGGAAGAACACCGGUGGCGUAGGCGACUCGCUGGGCCGUAACUGACGCUGAGGAACGACAGCUAGGGUAGCGAAUGGG
rnacentral:misc_RNA from 1 species